rnacentral:lncRNA from 1 species
CUUCCUCGUCUUCUCCGUCCUCUGGACUCCGCUCGUCCGCCGCCGCCGCCAUGGUCCCGCGGCGCCUCGCCUUCUAGUCACUGGCCACGCCCGCCCGGAGCCGCCAUCUUGAGUACGGGCUUCAGCUCCGAGGCGAAGCAGCUUAUUGGGUUCCUGCCGCUCCGCUCCUCGCCGCGCAAAUUGCUUCUGCCAGAACUCGAGAUGUCGGCUUCCGGCGGGCGGGUGGCUACGGGCGCCGAGAGCGCCGGUACCCACGUGGAGACUCGCCACGGGCCUCCUCGUUUCUCGGUGCCUCAGAGCAGGGGCUGGGGGUGGGCUGCCGUAGGCAGCGGAGCCCGCUCGGUCACGCAAGAGUCGCCGGGCUCUCGGCCCCGCUGGCGGGGAGGACUGGCAAGGCAGAAGGGAUAAAGGCGAAAACAAGGAAACCAUGGUUUCAGGCGGAUCAUGGACAGAAAGGCCUUGUGUUUGACCCGAGCACAUUUCUUGGAAAGAAAUUCUUAAUAUUGUGUGAGCGCUCAUCCUCAAUUCAACGUACCCCAAGCCAAGUUAAAGGCACAUUCAGUUUAAUACUAAUGAGCGCCUACACAGUAAAAAGCACUGCACCAGGAGCUAUGAAAAAUAGAAAGUGGGCUUAAGUUUCAGGCCUGCAGGAGCAUAAGAUCUGUGAGAGGUACAUAAAUGGAUCCAAGCAAGUGCUGUAAGAGAUACACAUUGUUAUAGGAACACAGAGACCUGGGCAAGAGAAGUUUGAACAGAAUUUUCAGAAGUAUCCCAUAGAUGUUUGUGAUUGUGAAAGAAACGGUCUUCGUACUUGCGAUAGCGUGAUCUAGUGGUUAAGAUCGUGAGUUUUGGAUUUUUAUUUAUUUAUUUAUUUGGAGAUGGAGUUUUGCUCUUGUUACCCAGGCUGGAGUGCAAUGGUGCAAUCUCGGCUCACUGCAGCCUCCACCUCCCGGGUUCAAGCGAUUCUCCUGCCUCAGCCUCCCGAGUAGCUGGGA